rnacentral:lncRNA from 10 species
CUGGCCUUGAGAGCAGAGCUCUACUUAGAACUCUAUUUCUGAGCAUUGAGAGGCUUCAUUAAUUUUCCAUCCUCACACUCUUUGUCCUAAGACCCCGUAAGGGCGCCCACCUGUCUGUCUACUUAAACAGCUUUUAUUCAGCAGAAUUGGCAAUUGCUGAUUCCCUAAUGGCCUCACUAAGUCAUUGAUCUGAAGAGACCUUAGAAGAUGGAGGAGCCACAAGAUGGAAAGAGCCUGGACCAUGAAUCAUACUGUGACUGAAAAGGUGCCCACCAAACACUCGAUUGGAGCAGGAGGUAACCAGGACAAAAGCCAGUGGGGUUUGAGUUUAUUUGUUGCAUCUUUUCACCUCCCUUAUUACUAUAUUGAUGCCCACAAUAGAUUUGUGGACUCUGAGAAUGGAAGAGACCUUCCCCAUAGACAGCCUGGGAAAGAUGGCAAGAAACCAGCAAAUGAAGACAUUCCUGUGGGCUGAAACAGACAGAGACAUGGACAGUCUCACAGAGACUCCCAGAGCUUGAUGUAGUCCCAAUUCAGGCAAUACAGGACACAAAGGCUGAAUAAGGACAAAUAGCACACAGAGUCAAGGCACCGGGUUUCUGUCCUUAUGGCACACAGCUGCAGCCAUGUUAUGCUUUGCCUUGCCUCUGUAGACUGACUCUUGGCAACAUGUGCUCCCUUUACACAUACUUCCUUGUGGACCUGGGCUUGGUACAAAAUUACUGAAGAGGGUUGCCAGACCAGAAGAGACCCAGCAGAAAGAAAUAUGCAUAGGAACCACACAUCUGGUUUGCCUGAGGUAGUCAUGCCUUGUAUUCAUUGUCUUGGCAUAGUUAUUUCCAGUAUCUCCUUUUAUUCUGGAAAGUGUCUGCUUGAGAUAAUAAAUCAUAUGAUCUCCAUAAAAAC